UACGUAGGGGGCGAGCGUUGUCCGGAUUUAUUGGGCGUAAAGAGCGUGUAGGCGGUUCGGUAAGUCUGUCGUGAAAUCCUGAGGCUCAACCUCGGGCGUGCGAUGGAUACUGCCGGGCUAGAGGGUGGUAGAGGCGAGUGGAAUUCCCGGUGUAGCGGUGAAAUGCGCAGAUAUCAGGAAGAACACCAAUGGCGAAAGCAGCUUUCUGGGACGGUACUGACGCUGAGACGCGAAAGCGUGGGAGCGAACAGG
rnacentral:rRNA from 1 species